UACGGAGGAUGCGAGCGUUAUCCGGAUUUAUUGGGUUUAAAGGGUGCGUAGGCGGAUUGUUAAGUCAGUGGUCAAAUUGAGGGGCUCAACCCCUUCCCGCCAUUGAAACUGGCGCUCUUGAGUGGAAGAGAAGUAUGCGGAAUGCGUGGUGUAGCGGUGAAAUGCAUAGAUAUCACGCAGAACCCCGAUUGCGAAGGCAGCAUGCCGGCUUCCGACUGACGCUGAAGCACGAAAGCGUGGGGAUCGAACAGG
rnacentral:rRNA from 1 species